AAUUGAUUAUAAGCGCCAUUUGGCGCACUGCAAAUGGUGUUGAGGCUGCAGCGAAGCCCUCGGGGCUGAACGACCCCUCGGAACACUUAAAACUGGGAAGUUUGRGAAAUAAUUUUGUUGCUAUACCUUUUGAUUUCCCCCCCCCACACACACUCCUUUUUCUGAAAGUCUUAAACAUGGGAACUUUUGCUUUCAAAAAACGUAUAUAUCCUUUCUUUGGGUUCCUCUUUCAGUGACUGCCAGAUCCAGAGUAGCAGGAGGUAAAACAUGAGGUAAAAAAGGAAGGUUCAAGUUGUGCCUGUGUGCAAUGGGAGAGGAGGGACUGCCCGGCUUGGCCUGCGCGCCCGGAAAGCGCCGUUCCCCUAAGGAAGCGGGCUGUGAGGGGCCACACCGAAGAGGAGUAAGUUUUACGGACCCCAAGUGAACUUCACACCUUUCAUGUAGCUGUUAUAAAUGAAAGAAUAUGAGAAAAAAAGAACUAGAACUGCAGAAGCCUUUGCUGCAGGUGCCAGUCAUGGAGAAGCCUUGGAAGCCUUAGCUUUAGACAAUUAAAAGCAGUGUUUUUUCCCUAAAAUAGAAAAAAAGUCUUUGAUAGCUGAA
rnacentral:lncRNA from 1 species